rnacentral:tRNA from 1 species
UAAGUAAAGAAGUAAAAUACAUUUAAUUUCGACUUAAAUUUAGGGUUAAAACCCCAUACUUAA